AGAUAAAGAGCAACCGUCGACAAAUAUAUGGAUUGCAACGACGUUGGCAUUAUGUCUGCUAAUAGUUGGCGUCACCACCACUGCUUGUUUGUGUAUCCGAAGGAAGAAAGAGAAGAGGGCCCAAAUAGCCGUUCAACUGAAUGAACUAAAACCAUCGGAUAUUCCACCAGAAUUGAUCAACAGCAACAGUGGUAAUUUUGAAGUCUUUCCCAACGACAAUAAUGACGACAACACCGAUCAUUAUGAUGUAUUGCCCGAUGACAACAAUGACGACAACACCGAUCAUUAUGAUGUAUUGCCCGACGACGUCCAUGACGACUGUGUCGUUCCGUAUGCAGUCGUCCAUUUGGACAAUACAGAGCGUGAGGCGACACCAAUGUUCAGA